rnacentral:rRNA from 1 species
ACGAACGCUGGCGGCGUGCUUAACACAUGCAAGUCGAACGGAAAGGCCCUGCUUUUGUGGGGUGCUCGCGUGGCGAACGGGUGAGUAACACGUGAGUAACCUGCCCUUGACUUUGGGAUAACUUCAGGAAACUGGGGCUAAUACCGGAUAGGAGCUCCUGCUGCAUGGUGGGGGUUGGAAAGUUUCGGCGGUUGGGGAUGGACUCGCGGCUUAUCAGCUUGUUGGUGGGGUAGUGGCUUACCAAGGCUUUGACGGGUAGCCGGCCCGAGAGGGUGACCGGCCACAUUGGGACUGAGAUACGGCCCAGACUCCUACGGGAGGCAGCAGUGGGGAAUAUUGCACAAUGGGCGGAAGCCUGAUGCAGCAACGCCGCGUGCGGGAAGACGGCCUUCGGGUUGUAAACCGCUUUCGCCUGUGACGAAGCGUGAGUGACGGUAAUGGGUAAAGAAGCACCGGCUAACUACGUG